rnacentral:lncRNA from 1 species
AAAGAGCCAGAAAUUGAGAGGGCAUCCAAAACAAAACCCUCGGGAAUAACAAAGUACCAGGUGUUGAUAGUGUUCAAUUAGGGACUCAGAAUUAUCAGUCUGAUUUUGUUAGUUGGGAGGAAGAAAUCACUGAAUACUAAGUAGUGGUCAUCACUAAUAAAGAUUUCAAUUGUAUAAAGAGCAAUUUAUUGUCUAACACGAUAAGAAAAUGGCUGGAACUAAUAUUCCCAUAGGCUAAGUAUUAUCUUCACCAUACCUGAUGGAGUUGCUCAUGAGUCACAGCUGGCCAGGCAGUCAUCAGUGAGAUGGAAAGGUGGCAACGUGUGUUGCUUAUGGGAAUGUGGUAAUUGUUGAUCUUUUGAAGCUGCUGUCUUCCAAGUCAUUUUGUUUUCUCUGUAAGUUUUAUGCUUCUUUAUGUCUGUGUUUUUUAUCUUGAUUUCAAACUACUAACUACUGUUUCUAACUACUAACUACUAUUCUUGAUUGCAAACUACUAAUGACUCAAAAGAUUUUGUUCCUUAUUUAUGCUUACUAAAAAGCAAUUCUUGCAAUUCUUUAGCUUGUAUGCUGUUUCUUUGUGUUAAUUCAUCAGUCAUUUUUUCCUUUGAGCUGAGCUGGAGUAAUUCAGCUGUGCUUUGUGGAAUUGGGCUUUAUAUAAGGGAUAGCUGAGGCUCAUUAAACAGGAUCCUGGAUUGUAUUCUAUCUACCUGCAAACCCAACAUGAUGAUAGCUGUUGCUUUGUUCCCCAUCCCACCUCCCCACGCCCCUGCAAUAAUACUGUGAGGCAUUCUGAAAGGAGCAUUAAUCUUGCCUGGAAGGGCCGACCUGCUGGCAGCCGAUUCAUCAGCAACACUCCCUGGAAGCUGCUGGCCCACACUUUCUGUCAGUGGUGGGUGGCAAGGAUUUAAGCUGAGAAGGAAUUGUUUUACAAUUCCAGGGAAUAAUUUUUUCUGAAGAGAAAAUUCUUGUCAUUUUUAGAAUGUCCCAAGAAGGACUGAACUAUUUCAUUGCUGCUAGAGGAUGUGUUGGUGUAAUACUAAAAAGUUAAACCUUAGAUGAUCAAUCUGCUAAUAGGGCAGCAUGUCUUAUAAUAAUAAGUAUUCAUUAUUUCUCUGACCAGCAAGGCCAUUCAUAUAAAUUAUCUUUCUUUAGGAAAAUUAAUGUUGUAUAUUUUCCUUACUAAGGGUAUCUUUGCUGUUUUAUAAGUACCUAGCCACUUUCUUUGAACUUUACCAUAUGAAAUUGCUUCAUAUUUUCUCAACAAUUACAGUUCAGCUCUGGCUUUAUUUUUAAUUCACAGACAGAAAGCGAUAUAGGCUGUAAUUUCCCUGGAAAGCUAUACCUUAGUUACUGCUGACUGAAAUUUCUGUUCUCAUUUUAGUUGCAAAAGCUUCAAAAUUAACUCACCAUUUUUAAUAACAAAUAAACAGAUCUGAACAAAUCAAAAUGUGGACGAGUUAGAUGGAAACUGCAAAAACUAAGCAUUUGAAUGUGAAUUCAGGGGUAGGCUGUACUCUUCCUGUUGCUUUGAUCAGUCAUUUCUAGACAUGCUGCUUCCUCUGUAAUGUUCCUACAUUACAUUUCUAAAGUUGUUGUUUGAUUCUGAGGGUUAUAAAUGAAUAAAUGUUUAUAUUUUUAGAUUAACUGAACUGAGUUUUAUGAAUGAUAAGUGGAUUUAGAAAUACAGUUCAGAGCCAACAGCUAAUGAAAAAGAAAUUUUGGAGUAAGCUAUAGGAUAUUUUUUUCUGACAUUUCAUGCUAUUUAAAUAUAAUUUUCCGUGAGUUACACCAAGGUGUUGGUUAUCCUAAGCAAAUAACUGCUGAAGAUUAAUUGUCAUAUCUAAGCUCUGUACUUUCUCUAAUUUAAUAUCCUUUUGCUUACAUAAAGUAAGCCAAUAAUCACAACCUUUUAUUGGUACAGCCGCAGUUCCCUGUAUCCAUCUCACCUGGUUCUGUAUACAUUUUAGACUGUGAUUAGAAGUGUAAUUCUUCUAGCAAAGCAAUUCACUUCUUUGUCUUUUGCUAUACUAUGCUCUGGUAAGUUUGAUUUUGCUUGUCUUUGCUAGGAAUUUCACUCAUGUGAGGUAGUGAAUCCUCUUGUACUGCCAACUGUAGAAAGUCACGAAUAAGCAGCUGAGUUAGCUGUUUGUAACAUUCAGCUCUGGUGGGGGAAGAUAUGUCUUUGCUUCAUCUUUGAGUUUAUGGAAAGAAACAAUGUUAUUCUGCAUACGUAUUAUAAAUAUUGGUUACUAGUAGGAAACUUAUUGCUGCUUUGUCUAUUAACCUCUAAACACUGACAUGCUGAACCAACAAAUUACCUCCUUGAUCUUGCAGCAGGUCCUGCGCUA